GGCCCCGUAGCUCAGCAGGAUAGAGCACCAGAUUCCUAAUCUGGGGGUCACAGGUUCGAAUCCUGUCGGGGUCACCA
rnacentral:tRNA from 2 species